rnacentral:tRNA from 2 species
AUUUAUAUAAUAUAAAAAGUAUAAUUGACUUCCAAUCAUUAAGUUUAUUAAUUUAAUAUAAAUA